CACCAUCUAGUGGAGCUUCGGCGUUACUGCAGCUCCACAGAUUAAAAAAAAGAGCGAGUUAUCCACUAUGGAAGCAAAUUUGUAUCAUAAUUCAAAGGUCAUAGACUGUAUAUAGAAUGGACCAUAGACAUAAUACAGCCUGAUGCUGCCUAUUGGAGCUCACGUAUCAGCUCGCCCGCCAUCUUGGAUGGGUCCCCUAAGCGCCUCCAUUGCGUUAAGGUAGGUAGGAAUGCCCAACCAUAUUAAUAAUAACUCUCCGAAUCUCUGCCCGAUUUUCACACUGUUUGGUUUGUUACAAAUGGCAAGGAUGUAGCCAUAAUACAGGACAAUGCCACACAUCAAAAAUAAAAAAAAAUUUCAAUCUUAUUUGUGAAAUGUAAUCCUACGUGACUGGGUUUCAAUACUGUAUCUUUUUUUUUUUCAACCAUAGAGUGCAAAAAUACAGGCAUAGUUGCUCGUUCUCCAUUGACCCCGUUGGCUCUUGAGCGAGCCUUAAGUACAGAGACCCAUCCAACAUGGCGGCAACACUGGAUUACGCUCCAGCACGUAAUGAGGCGUCAAAGUAUAUAAUGUCUAUGGAAUGGAAUCUGCCUCCUCACUGGGUGAAGCCAUUCCGAGAACAGCACCCUCUGGCGGCAGGCUGCAGUAUGGGUCAUAAAUCGCGCCUCUGCCAUCCAUCCUACGAAAAAAAAUUUGCACCCGGGGAUACGCUGUUUGAGCCGAGCUUCAUCACAGAAACUCUCAGCGACUUUCCUGCCGAACAUGUAC